UCGACUCACUUCCAGCCGGUAAAACUGUAAAGUUGCGGGCUUUCCCUCCUCGGGGUGUGUGUGUCUAGCGUUACAGCUGAAAGAUGGACGGCAGCAUUGGAGUUUCCUCGCAGGAAUCUGUGUGGGUGUGAGAAUGGCUGCACAGAGUACGAGCCGCAGCAGCUGCUGGACGCCACCUGUGGCCGAGCUUUCCCUGAGGCCUAUUGUGGCUCCAACUAGUCCCUCUGGGCUCACAGGGACUGAGGCCGGGGAAGUCAGAGAUGGUUUGUCUCUCCCUCGGCAGGCUGGCUGACAGAUGUCCAUCAGUUCCCUCGUUUGCUCCGACCCCAACACAGCUCCAGGCCCCACAGUGAGACAAGAAACUGGCAAUAACUGCUCUAUGAAACACAGCCCAUAAACGGACGCACAGAUUUCUGGCAGCCAGGAUCUUUAUGAUGUUUAAAAAGCCACUUUUUUUCCCCCCAGAUUUGUAAACCCUAAUUAGGAGGAUCUCAGUAAUAAACUCAGUUACUAUAAUCCUUCUAUCAGCAGUCAGAAAAUGUUUAUUGUCACAGUCGGUUCCACACUAUUUCUAAUUACUCUCCUCUCAGAAAUUUGGUUUUCAAACGAGACAUUGUGAAUAGCAAAUCUGUUAACAUGAAUACAUCUAUUAAUGACAAUUUAGAUAGUUGCAGCCCAAAGAGAAGAGAAGAGAAGAGAAGAGAAGAGAAGAGAAGAGAAGAGAAGAGAAGAGAAGAGAAGAGAAGAGAAGAGAAGAGAAGAGAAGAGAAGAGAAGAGAAGAGAAGAGAAGAGAAGAGAAGUUGGAAUGUUAAACUGAAUAACAAACGUUGAAGUACAAUCUUGUUUGUCUGCCUUAUCUAUGUUUUCCCCAACAAUAGUUUAUGCUGUCUCCAUUUGGUAAACAGAUAAGUAAGGAGAUUGAAGUCAUUAAUUAGAUAAUCACAUGAUAAGAAAAUAAUUUAC